AUGACUGAUGGACUGUGAGCAUUUAAAAACUGGGAACCAACGGCAAGACACCACAAACGUACUACAGUUUCUACAGUUUUUGGGUGCCAGAGUACUGAGAUGUUGAGAAAAUAGUCGAGCCAUGGGCAGCAGGUGAAGAACAACUGCGCACAUUUAGUGACAUUUUCAACUACAAAAUGGACAUCAAUGACUACAGAGAUUUUGUGGAGAAUGUCUUGAAAGAUUCGAAGAGGUGUGCAAUUCCUGACAGUAUCAAAAAAGCAAAAGAUAUUGUCAGAACAAUUGCAGUGAGUUCUGCAGAAGCAGAAAGGGGUUUUUCUAAAAUGAACCUGAUAUGUUCAGAGAGCAGAAGUCGCCUAGCCGUUUCCAAUCUAACCAGCCUCAUGACCAUCAGCGUUACUGGACUACCUCUUCCAAAAUGGGACCCUAUUUCUGCAUUGAAAAAAUGGUUCAGAGAACACCAUCGCUCAGCCAAUGAUCCGUGCAUCAGGUGUAAGAAAAGUGGAAGCGAGGAGAGUGCCACUGAAAUAGCUAUUUGGAAACAUCUCAUAGCUAAAGACGACUAACAGUUUUAUGUCGUUAUUAUCCUUGGUGCAAGAAGCGUCGUUGAAGACAACACUUUUAUUGCUCUUCUCUUCAAAGAAGUGAUGUCGACUUGGCCACGCCCACCAGUCACAUGGCCACCAACCCAGGCCCACCUGGUCACCAAACCACGCCCACCAAUUAAGCCACGCCACAGAACCGGCAGCGAAAAUUUUGAGAUUUCACCCCUGCUCCAGGUGCUUGCAGAGAGAGUCUAUCCGGAAUCACAGUGUGGCUUUCGAGCCAACAGGUCCACUACUGACAUGCUAUUUUCCCUUAGACAAUUGUAGGAGAAAUGCAGGGAACAAAGACAGCCACUUUUUGUAGCCUUCAUAGUUUUUGGCAUCACCUGGCAGGACAAAGUUCCAAAUAGCGCAGCCUUGGAACGUGCUGGAAUUUCUAGCAUGUAUACACUAUUGAAACAGCGGGAUCUACGCUGGCUUGGGCAUGUUGCGAGAAUGGCUGAUGGUCGGAUUCCGAAAGAUCUCUUGUAUGGAGAAUUAGUGCAGGAAAAAGGCCUCAGAGGGAGACCACAGCUGCGAUAUAAGGAUAUCUGCAAGAGGGACCUAAAGGCCCUGGGAAUGGACAUUAACAACUGAAAACCUUGACCUCCGAUCGUUCAGCUUGGAGGCUAAAGACGCAGCAUGGCCUUCUCCAAUUCGAAGAGACAUUUGUUGAGCAGGCUGAGGCAAAGAGGCAGUCCCGGAACCAGCAAAAUCUGGGGGCUGGGCAGGGGACAGAAUGUAUCU